UACGUAGGGUGCGAGCGUUAAUCGGAAUUACUGGGCGUAAAGCGUGCGCAGGCGGUUUUGUAAGCCAGAUGUGAAAUCCCCGGGCUUAACCUGGGAAUGGCAUUUGGGACUGCAAGGCUUGAGUGCGGCAGAGGAGACUGGAAUUCCUGGUGUAGGCAGUGAAAUGCGUAGAUAUCAGGAGGAACACCGAUGGCGAAGGCAGGUCUCUGGGCUGACACUGACGCUGAGGAGCGAAAGCAUGGGGAGCGAACAGG
rnacentral:rRNA from 1 species